CCUANGGGGGGCAGCAGUGGGGAAUUGUUCGCAAUGGGCGAAAGCCUGACGACGCAACGCCGCGUGGGGGAUGAAGGUCUUCGGAUCGUAAACCCCUGUCGAGCGGGAAGAACGACCCGUGAUUGAAUAGAUCGCGGGAGUGACGGUACCGCUAAAGGAAGCCACGGCUAACUCUGUGCCAGCAGCCGCGGUAAUACAGAGGUGGCAAGCGUUGUUCGGAAUUACUGGGCGUAAAGGGCGCGUAGGCGGCCUUCUAAGUCAGACGUGAAAUCCCAAGGCUUAACCUUGGAACUGCGUCUGAUACUGGAAGGCUAGAGGUCGGGAGAGGGAUGUAGAAUUCCAGGUGUAGCGGUGAAAUGCGUAGAUAUCUGGAGGAAUACCGGUGGCGAAGGCGGCAUCCUGGACCGAAACUGACGCUGAGGCGCGAAAGCUAGGGUAGCAAACGGGAUUAGAUACCCCANUANUC
rnacentral:rRNA from 1 species